GUCAAUCACAAGUGCUGCUGUGAAGAGAACAAUUGUCAGACUGAAUGUUGAACAUCAGCUAGUUUCUCCUGUUGAUUUAAACCUUGUUGUAGAGAUGGAACAUUGGCUGUGGAUUAUUCUUGCUGCUCUUUUCUUUGAGUGUAAAGGAGAAGACAGAGUGAACCAGACAACAGGAGAUGUCAUCGCUACUGAAGGACACACAAUCACACUGGACUGUACAUUUGAGACCAGUUACACAGGUCCCACUUUGUUCUGGUACAAACAGGAAGUUCAUGAUUUCCCAAAGUCUAUCCUACGACGCUACUCUGGAGCCAACGAUGCUGGAGACGUUCAGAAAGACAGAAUUGAUGCUACAGUCAACAAGAAAUCAGUUCCUCUGAGGAUCCAGAAGCUUCAGCUGUCAGACUCUGCUGUAUACUACUGUGCUCUGCAGCCCACAGUGACAGGAAACACCAAAACUCUGUACAAAAACCUUUGGAGCAAAGACAACACAAUACUCCACAACGUCCACUAGAGGGAGUCACACUCUGUUCCACUCCAACAGGAGCUGAUGAUCCAGUCUAGGGUUGAAGUACCAUCCAUUUGCUGGAUUACAGACA